GCUUGUCUCAAAGAUUAAGCCAUGCAUGUCUUAGUGUAAAUAACUCUUAUGAAACUGCGAAUGGCUCAUUAAAUCAGUUAUCAAAUACGUGAUGGUCGCCUACUACAUGGAUAACCGUAGUAAUUCUAGAGCUAAUACAUGCGAAAAGACCCGACUUUUUGGAAGGGUUGUAUUUAUUAGAUACAAAACCAAUGCGGAGCAAUCCGGUUUGUGGUGAUUCAUAAUAACUUUGCGAAUCGCAUGGCCUUGCGCCGGCGAUGAAUCAUUCAAAUUUCUGCCCUAUCAACUUUCGAUGGUAAGGUAUUGGCCUACCAUGGUUACAACGGGUAACGGGGAAUUAGGGUUCGGUUCCGGAGAGGGCGCCUGAGAAAUGGCGACCACAUCCAAGGAAGGCAGCAGG
rnacentral:rRNA from 1 species